rnacentral:lncRNA from 12 species
AUGCUGCGGUGGUCACUCUGGCACACACCAUGGUGGUCACUCUGGCACACAGCCCAGCUACAAGACACAUUCACAAGAGCAAAGCGGAGAGAAUCAUCAGAGAAUAACAGAAUGUUUUGGGCUGGAAGGGGCCUUAGAGCUCACCUCAUUCCCCUGCAGGGGCAGGGACACAUUCCUCUAUCCCAGGUUGAUCCGUGGUCACUCUGGCACACAGCCCGGUGGUCACUCUGGCACACAGCCCGGUGGUCACUCGGGCACACACCGUGGUGGUCACUCUGGCUCACAGCCCAGUGGUCACACUGGCUCACAGCCCGCUGGUCACUCUGGCUCACACCAUGGUGGUCACUCUGGCUCACAGCCCGCUGGUCACUCGGGCACACACCGUGGUGGUCACUCGGGCACACAGCCCGCUGGUCUCUCGGGCACACGCUGCGCCCCGUGCCACCCUCGGGGCUCCUGGUGCCCCCGGGCUGGGCCAGCCCCCGGGGUCCCCCCUGGCCGCGGCCGCUGCGGGAGCAGUCGUGGUGGCCGUGGUUGCCCAAGCGGCUGGAGGCCACCACGGCUUUCAUGGCGGCCUGGCACAGAGAAUUAGGGAAUUGCUGUGGCAUUAUGGGAUGCUCGGAGGGGAUCGCCCGGCCGAAACCCGGCACCCCCCAAAAAUCCAACCCCGAACCCUCCUGGAGCUGGGGCAGCCUCGGCUCUGCUCCCUGAGGGAAUUAAGGACCCAGCACCCCCUGCGGGGGGAACUUCCCCUAAAAUCCAUCCCAAAAUUCAUCCAAAAUUCAUCCCAAAACCAUCCAAAAUUCAUCCCAAAAUCCAUCUCCCCCCCCCCCCCCCCCCCCCCCCCCCCCCCCCCCCCCCCCCCCCCCCCCCCCCCCCCCCCCCCCCC